AUUGAACGCUGGCGGCAGGCCUAACACAUGCAAGUCGAGCGGGGUUUUCGGACCUAGCGGCGGACGGGUGAGUAAUGCGUAGGAAGCUACCCGAUAGAGGGGGAUACCAGUUGGAAACGACUGUUAAUACCGCAUAAUGUCUACGGACCAAAGUGUGGGACCUUCGGGCCACAUGCUAUCGGAUGCGCCUACGUGGGAUUAGCUAGUUGGUGAGGUAAUGGCUCACCAAGGCGACGAUCCCUAGCUGGUUUGAGAGGAUGAUCAGCCACACUGGAACGGAGACACGGUCCAGACUCCUACGGGAGGCAGCAGGGGGGAAUAUUGGACAAUGGGCGCAAGCCUGAUCCAGCUAUGCCGCGUGUGUGAAGAAGGCCUUCGGGUUGUAAAGCACUUUCAGUAGGGAGGAAGCGUUGUGUGUUAAUAGUACACAGCGUUGACGUUACCUACAGAAGAAGCACCGGCUAACUCUGUGCCAGCAGCCGCAGUAAGAC
rnacentral:rRNA from 1 species